UACAAGAGUACAAUCACAUCGCCACAUAUAUACUGUUGAAUUGUGAAGAACUUCAGCCAUACGAAAGACUUUUUGACGAGGAUGUUUUGGCAACAUAUCCUAAUCUAAGUGGGGAGGAACUUGAAGGAAUGAAGGAACAACAUUAUGCAUCUUGGCUACGAGACUACAUUCAAUCAUGUAGUGAUAGAAUUCCGGCAUGGAUCAGAGAUAUAUCACAUGGACCUGGAAGAAAAGUCAUUUGCUAGUCGAUAAUGUUCACCCGAGGAUACACGUUUCACACUUACGAUCAUGGAAAACAUAAAUCCACGUUCAAUUACGGAGUUUGUAUAAAAAGCGGGCCAUCGGAAGAUCCUGAUUUCUUUGGGGUUCUUCGUCAGAUUUUCCAACUCCAGUAUCCAGGAUUAGUCGGGUUGAAAACAAUCAUAUUCAGAUGUGAUUGGUUUGAUACAACGUCGGGACGCGGCUCACGGAAAAAUCGAUGGGGAGGUAUUGACAUAAACCCGAAACGUUCAUAUGCAAAGUACGAUCCUUUUAUACUUUCAGAUCAGGCAGACCAGGUAUGCUUCAUUCCAUAUCCGAAACAUUCUGCGACAUCGGUGAAACGGCGACGGGAAGAUCAAUGGUCGGCUGUUUUGAAGAUUAACCCACGAAGAUUAAUUAUCGUGGAUUCGUCGUCGACAACACAAGAUCUCGAUGAGCCAAUGCAAGAGCAACUCGAAGAUCCGGUUCUUCCCAUCCGACUAGAUGAUGAUUACGACGAGACACUUGCACUUCCUGACAUAGACGACGAGUUACUUGAUGAUUCGUUACACGUACAAGACGAUAUAGACGAAUUCGUUUCGGACCAUGAUACAACUCCGGAUGAUGAAAGUGAUGAAGAUUCUAUAUAGACUUAUUUGUUUUUAUUGUUUUCA